UAGGGAAUCUUCGGCAAUGGGGGCAACCCUGACCGAGCAACGCCGCGUGAGUGAAGAAGGUUUUCGGAUCGUAAAGCUCUGUUGUAAGAGAAGAACGUGUGUGAGAGUGGAAAGUUCACACAGUGACGGUAACUUACCAGAAAGGGACGGCUAACUACGUGCCAGCAGCCGCGGUAAUACGUAGGUCCCGAGCGUUGUCCGGAUUUAUUGGGCGUAAAGCGAGCGCAGGCGGUUUAAUAAGUCUGAAGUUAAAGGCAGUGGCUUAACCAUUGGUCGCUUUGGAAACUGUUAAACUUGAGUGCAGAAGGGGAGAGUGGAAUUCCAUGUGUAGCGGUUAAAUGCGUAGAUAUAUGGAGGAACACCGGUAGCGAAAGCGGCUCUCUGGUCUGUAACUGACGCUGAGGCUCGAAAGCGUGGGGAGCAAACAGG
rnacentral:rRNA from 1 species